GAUGAACGCUGGCGGCGUGCCUAAUACAUGCAAGUCGAGCGAACAGACGAGGAGCUUGCUCCUCUGACGUUAGCGGCGGACGGGUGAGUAACACGUGGAUAACCUACCUAUAAGACUGGGAUAACUUCGGGAAACCGGAGCUAAUACCGGAUAAUAUCUUGAACCGCAUGGUUCAAUAGUGAAAGACGGUUUUGCUGUCACUUAUAGAUGGAUCCGCGCCGCAUUAGCUAGUUGGUAAGGUAACGGCUUACCAAGGCAACGAUGCGUAGCCGACCGGAGAGGGUGACCGGCCACACUGGAACUGAGACACGGUCCAGCCUCCUACGGGAGGCAGCAGUAGGGAAUCUUCCGCAAUGGGCGAAAGCCUGACGGAGCAACGCCGCGUGAGUGAUGAAGGUCUUCGGAUCGUAAAACUCUGUUAUUAGGAAAGAACAAAUGUGUAAGUAACUAUGCACGUCGUGACGGUACCUAAUCAGAAAGCCACGGCUAACUACGUG
rnacentral:rRNA from 1 species